rnacentral:rRNA from 1 species
GCCUAGGCUCUCAGAGGCGAAGAAGGACGUGAUAAGCUGCGAAAAGUUACGGGGAGAAGCACAUAUUUUAUGAUCCGUAAAUAUCCGAAUGGGGCAACCCGGUAUGCUGAAGGCAUAUCACCUCGUAAGAGGGGCAAACCCGGUGAACUGAAACAUCUAAGUAACCGGAGGAAGAGAAAACAAAAGUGAUUCCGUUAGUAGUGGCGAGCGAAAGCGGGAAAGCCCAAACCAUUUUAGUUACGGCUAGAGUGGGGUUGUAGGACCACGAUAUCUUAACAAAAACGAACGAGAAUUACCUGGGAAGGUAAGCCGCAGAAGGUGAAAGCCCUGUAUUGGUAAGUUUUUGAGCGGUAGUGGUAUCCUGAGUAGGGCGGGGCAGGUGAAACCCCGUUUGAAUCUACCGGCACCAUCCGGUAAGGCUAAAUACUCCUGAGAGACCGAUAGUGAACCAGUACCGUGAGGGAAAGGUGAAAAGAACCCUAAGUAAGGGAGUGAAAGAGAACCUGAAACCGUACGCUUACAAGCGGUCG